rnacentral:lncRNA from 1 species
ACCACGUAAAAAAACAAGAUAGAGAUUAAAAAAAAAAGAUAAAGAUCAUGAUUUUUAUAAAGCAAGAAACCAACAACAUUGACAAACAGGGUUAGACCUCCAUUACAUACCGACGCAAAAAUAACACUCUGGAGCAUUGCUUUAUUCCCACACAUUUUCACCCACCUCACCCCCUCCUUGUCAGAGAGACAGCUCUCAGUGGUGAUAUGGAGGGAGGGUCCCCUCUCCUCUCCCUGUUGAUUCACACAGAUGGUCUGCCCGCCCUACAGUCCUUUAGUGCUGGUAGUUUGAUGUUCACACCACUACAAUAUACAUACAGGUGUGUGAGAGAGUGUGGAGAGACACACAUCAGAUCAUGUGUAUAUAUUGUUUGGAACAGUCACCAGGAGGUGUAUAACUCUCCUCCUCUUCUCCGGUCAUGUUAGUUUGUUUUUCUUUUCUUCUUUUGCCUGAAAUAACUGCUGGGCUUUGAGAUGGAAGGAAGAACAGUGGUUUUCUCAAGGAUUACACCACCUUCUCACACUUCUCACACUUGGUUUCUCAUCGGAAACCAAGCUUACAAACCAGUCAGUGAUCCAUAGGUGGGACUGAGACUGGAUUGCAGGAUUCUGCCCUAUGCCCACUCUCUAGCUAUUCUCUGCCCUAUGCCCACUCUAGCUAUUCUCUGCCCUAUGCCCACUCUCUAGCUAUUCUCUGCCCUAUGCCCACUCUCUAGCUAUUCUCUGCCCUAUGCCCACUCUCUACUAGUCUCUCCUAGGCCCACUCUCUAGCUAUUCUCUGCCCUAGCCCACUCUCUAGCUAUCUGCUGCCCUAUGCCCACUCUCUAGCUAUUCUCUGCCCUAUGCCCACAUCUCUAGCUAUCUCUGAUUCUCCUGCCCUAUGCCCACUCUACUCUAGCUAUUCUCUGCCCUAUGCCCACUCUCUAGCCAUUCUCUGCCCAAGCCAGACAAGACUCUCUUUACUCAUUAUGACAAACAAUAAAAGAAGACAUUGUCCCCCCCCCAAAAAGACCGUUUGGUGCUUAACUCCUCCUUCAUGUGUGAUAGCUCUAGCCAUUCUCUGCCCAAGCCAGACAAGACUCUCUUUACUCAUUAUGACAAACAAUAAAAGAAGACAUUGUCCCCCCCCCAAAAAGACCGUUUGGUGCUUAACUCCUCCUUCAUGUGUGAUAGUGAUGGGCACAGGCCAACCUGAGAGAGAGAGAGAAAGAGAGGGAGGAAGUAGAGAUCAUCCACACAGAGAUAUCUGA